rnacentral:RNase_P_RNA from 1 species
GACGGUUGGAUGGCCGCCUUCUGGCAACGGGGAAACCCGCCGGGGGGAGGAAAGUCCGGGCUCCAUGGAAACACGGUGCCGGUUAACAGCCGGCGGGGGCGACCCUAGGGAAAGUGCCACAGAAAGCAAACCGCCUUAUCUCCCGAUGAGGCAAGGGUGAAAGGGUGCGGUAAGAGCGCACCGCGUUGGCGGCAACGUCGACGGCAAGGUAAACCCCACCGGGAGCAAAACCGAAUAGGGACGGCAUGCGAGUGCAAAUUCGCAGGCGGGUUUCCGCGCCGCUGUCCGGGUAGGUUGCGACGAGGCGUGCGGUAACGGACGCCCCAGAUGAAUGGCCAUCCAUCGCACUUGGCGAGGACAGAACCCGGCUUACAGACCGUCUGA